GCUGGGCGUUGUGGUAGGCACCUGUAGUCCCAGCUAGUUGGGAGGCUGAGGCAAGACAAUCACCUAAGCCUAGGAGUUGGAGGUUGCUGUGAGCUGUGAUGCUAGGGCACGCCACCAAAGGUGAUAAAGUGAGACUCUAUCUCAAAAAAAAAAAAAAAAAAAAAGUGAGAUAGCGCCUCAAGCUGUCACCCUGGGUACAGUGCCAUGGCAUCACAGCUCACAGCAACCUCCAACUCCUGGGCUCAAGAGAUUCUCCUGCCU
rnacentral:sRNA from 1 species